GAAAGGGGCGGUAAUACCGGAUAAUAUCACUUGUCGAUGGAUAGGUGAUCAAAGAUUUAUCGGACUGGGAGCGGCCUAUCUCCUAUCAGCUUGUUGGUGAGGUAAAAGCUCACCAAGGCUAUGACGGGUAGCGGGACUGAGAGGUUGACCCGCAACAUCGGGACUGAGACACUGCCCGGACCUCCACGGAGGGCUGCAGUAACGAAUAUUGCGCAAUGGGCGAAAGCCUGACGCAGCGACGCCGCGUGUAGGAUGAAGUCUUUCGGGAUGUAAACUACUGUCAGGGGUAAGAAAGUCCCCUCAGGGGGAUUGAUCUAACCCAGAGGAAGUCACGGCUAACUUCGUGCCAGCAGCCGCGGUAAGACGAAGGUGGCAAGCGUUGUUCGGUGUUACUGGGCUUAAAGCGUGUGUAGGCGGAAAAGUAAGCGCCUUGUGAAAUCCCUCGGCUUAACCGAGGAAUUGCUCGGCGAACUACUUUUCUUGAGGCAAGUAGGGGUGCACGGAACUCUUGGUGGAGCGGUGGAAUGCGUAGAUAUCAAGAGGAACGCCGGUGGUGAAGACGGUGCACUGGGCUUGUCCUGACGCUGAGACACGAAAGCGUGGGGAGCGAACGGGAUUAGAUACCCCGGUAGUCCACGCUGUAAACGAUGUCUACUA
rnacentral:rRNA from 1 species